CCUACGGGCGGCAGCAGUGGGGAAUAUUGCACAAUGGGCGCAAGCCUGAUGCAGCCAUGCCGCGUGUGUGAAGAAAGCCUUCGGGUUGUAAAGCACUUUCAGCGGGGAGGAAGGCGUUAAGGUUAAUAACCUUGGCGAUUGACGUUACCCGCAGAAGAAGCACCGGCUAACUCCGUGCCAGCAGCCGCGGUAAUACGGAGGGUGCAAGCGUUAAUCGGAAUUACUGGGCGUAAAGCGCACGCAGGCGGUCUGUCAAGUCGGAUGUGAAAUCCCCGGGCUCAACCUGGGAACUGCAUUCGAAACUGGCAGGCUAGAGUCUUGUAGAGGGGGGUAGAAUUCCAGGUGUAGCGGUGAAAUGCGUAGAGAUCUGGAGGAAUACCGGUGGCGAAGGCGGCCCCCUGGACAAAGACUGACGCUCAGGUGCGAAAGCGUGGGGAGCAAACAGGAUUAGAUACCCGUGUAGUC
rnacentral:rRNA from 1 species